rnacentral:rRNA from 1 species
CGAUGAACCACUUCGGUGGGGAUUAGUGGCGAACGGGUGAGUAACACGUGGGCAAUCUGCCCUGCACUCUGGGACAAGCCCUGGAAACGGGGUCUAAUACCGGAUACGACACUCUCGGGCAUCCGAUGAGUGUGGAAAGCUCCGGCGGUGCAGGAUGAGCCCGCGGCCUAUCAGCUUGUUGGUGAGGUAACGGCUCACCAAGGCGACGACGGGUAGCCGGCCUGAGAGGGCGACCGGCCACACUGGGACUGAGACACGGCCCAGACUCCUACGGGAGGCAGCAGUGGGGAAUAUUGCACAAUGGGCGCAAGCCUGAUGCAGCGACGCCGCGUGAGGGAUGACGGCCUUCGGGUUGUAAACCUCUUUCAGCAGGGAAGAAGCGAAAGUGACGGUACCUGCAGAAGAAGCGCCGGCUAACUACGUGCCAGCAGCCGCGGUAAUACGUAGGGCGCAAGCGUUGUCCGGAAUUAUUGGGCGUAAAGAGCUCGUAGGCGGCUUGUCGCGUCGGUUGUGAAAGCCCGGGGCUUAACCCCGGGUCUGCAGUCGAUACGGGCAGGCUAGAGUUCGGUAGGGGAGAUCGGAAUUCCUGGUGUAGCGGUGAAAUGCGCAGAUAUCAGGAGGAACACCGGUGGCGAAGGCGGAUCUCUGGGCCGAUACUGACGCUGAGGAGCGAAAGCGUGGGGAGCGAACAGGAUUAGAUACCCUGGUAGUCCACGCCGUAAACGGUGGGCACUAGGUGUGGGCGACAUUCCACGUCGUCCGUGCCGCAGCUAACGCAUUAAGUGCCCCGCCUGGGGAGUAC